UUUGGCCACGCAGUCGUGGGUGAACAGGGAAUACAGGAGGGGACUAAGUGUUAAGGAUCUCCAGUGUUAAGGAUCAGCGUGGCAGAUGUGUUGUUGCCUACUCUUACCACCUGGGGGCGGACCAUCAGGAAGUCCAGGAUCCAGUUGUAGAGGGAGGUGUUUAGUUCCAUAGUCCUUAGCUUAGUGAUGAGCUUCAUGGGCACUAUGGUGUUGAACCCUGAGCUGUAGUUGAUGAACAGCAUUCUCACAUAGGAGUUCCUUUUGUCCAGGUGAGAAAGGACAGUGUGGAGUGUGAUUGAGAUUGCGUCAUCUGUGGAUCUGUUGAGGCGUUAUGUGAAUUGGAGUGGGUCUAGGGUGUCCGGGAGGAUGCUGUUGAUGUGAGCCAUAACCAGUCUUUCAAAGCACUUCAUGACAACCGACGUGAGUGCCACAGGGCGGUGUGAUGGCAGGCUUCAACAGGAGCUCUGAUUUGCAGAGACCUGAACACAACAUCUCUGGCUGCCGUCUCUGCCUCGUGGUUCCUGUAUCUGAUCUUUGUGUUCCUUCUGGGAGCCAUCUGCACCAGAGAGGCACUGCGCUAUGACUUCUUAAUAGCGGAAAAGGUCUCCUUGGUGGAUUUCCUGUUUUUGCUGGGCCUCUACAUCUCCUCGCUGGCCUCCUGCAUGGGUGGUCUACAGGGCACCCAGGAUCCUCCAGGUCAUCACCAAGGAGAGGGUCAUCCCAGCCCUGACCUUCCUUGGACAAGGGUUGGAUAAGCCUGGCAGGCUGGAUGGAUGAUCCAUGAAUCACAAAAUAUUAAGAUAAAUGGAUCAGGUGCUUUACGUUUCAAGCGUCUCAGAGUAGGAGUGCUGAUCUAGGAUCAGUUUAGCCUUUUAGAUCAUAAUGAAUAAAGUGAAAUAGAUAGAGGGACCUGAUCCUAUAUCAGCACUCCUACUCUGAGGCAGUUGAUACAUAAAGCUCCUGAUAGUAAUUCUUAUAUGAACAGAAAUAACAGCCCACUUAAACCACAUGUCAGCAGCCUACUCACAGUACUCUCCAGCACUUAAAUAAAUAACUAACAUAAGUGCAAAAACACAUUUUGCUGCAAACAGUUUUAGGUCACAUAACUUAAACUGAAGUUUUUCUCUUUGGCUAUAAAUCAGAACCAUCAAACACAAUAUAGUCUGUCUCGAGUGGGAGGGUGUGGUACCAGUACGAUGGGUGGGUUCCACGGGAAACGGUGAGAGAAUGGCCUAAUUUUAGAGUGGUCAGUAGAGUAAACUAACCUCACAGAGAGAGAGAGAGUGAAGUGAGGGAACUGAGGGGGCAAUCCAAAUGGCACCCAAUUUCUUAUAUAGUGCACUACUUUUGGCCAGAGCCCUACGGAGAUGCUAUAGGCUCUGGUCAAAAGUAGUGCACUACGAAGGAAUAGGGUGCCAUUUGGGAUGUAGGUUGAGUGCAGCGUAACGGUCUAAAGGUUGGUCGUGUCUUAUGAAACGCAGCACACUGACCCCCCUGACUCCCCACUUCCUCUCCUCGGCCCCCACGCCCCUCAGUAGUGUGUGUGUGUGUGUGUGUGUGUGUGUGUGUGUGUGUUUUCGCGCUGGAACCAGACCCUAGACAUCUCGCCCUGAAUCAAAGCCUUAGAACAAAUGCAGGAAGGGAGAUGAAGGGAGACGGAUGGGGCUGGCCCAGGUUGCCCUGGAACACCGCCAGAGAGCACCAGUGGUGGUUAAGGCAGGAUGGUUGAAGUGUACAGAGCAUUCGGAAAGUAUUCAUACCCCUUAACUUUUUCCACAUUUUGUUACGUUACAGCCUUAUUCUAAAAUGGAUUAAAUAAAAUAAUUUCCUCAGCAAUCUACACACAAUACCCCAUAAUGACAAAGCAAAAACAGGUUUUUAGAAAUGUUUGCAAAUUUACAAACAAAUAAAACAGAAAUACCUUUCUUACAUAAAUAUUCAGAUCCUUUGCUAUGAGACUCGAAAUUGAGCUCAGGUGUUUCCUGUUUCAAUUGAUUAUCCUUGAGAUGUUUCCACAACUUGACUGGAGUCCACCUGUGGUAAAUUCAAUUGAUUGGGCAUUAUUUGGAAAGGCACACACCUGUCUAUAUGAGUUCUCACAGUUGACAGUGUAAGUCAGAGCAAGAACCAAGCCAUGAUGUCAAAGGACUUGUCCGUAGAGCUGAGACAGGAUUGUGUCGAUGCACAGAUCUGGGAAAUGGUACCAAACCAUUCUGCAUUAUCAAAAGUCCCCAAGAACACAAUGGCCUACGUCAUUCUUAAAUCAAAGAAGUUUGGAACCACCAAGAAUCGGGGGAGAAGGGUCUUGGUCAGGGAGGUGAUCAAGAGGAGUCCCUCCAUGGAGAUGGGAGAACCUUCCAGAAGGACAACCAUCUCUGCAGCACUCCACCAAUUAGGCCUUUAUGGUAGAGUGUCCAGACGGAAGCCACUCCUCGGUAAAAGGCACAUGACCUCUCGCUUGAAGUUGGCCAAAAGGUACCUAAAGACUCUCAGAUCAUGAGAAACAAGAUUCUCUGGUCUGAUGAAACCAAGAUUGAACUCUUUGGCCUGAAUGCCAAGUGUCACGUCUGGAGGAAACCUGGCACCAUCCCUACGGUGAAGCAUGGUGGCAGCAGCAUCAUGCUGUGGGGAUGUUUUCAGCGGCAGGGACUGGGAGACUAGGCAGGAUCGAGGGAAAGAUGAAUGGAGCAAAUUACAGAAAGAUCCUUGAUGAAAACCUGCUCCAGAGCGCACAGGACCUCAGACUGGGGCAAAGGUUCACCUUCCAACAUGACAAUGACCCUAACCACACACAGCCAAGACAAUGCAGGAGUGGCUUUGGGACAAGUCUAUGAAUGUCCUUGAGUGGCCCAGCCAGAGCCUGGACUUGAACCCGAUCGAGCAUCUCUGGAGAGAUCUGAAAAUAGCUGUGCAGCAAUGCUCCCCAUCCACCCUGACAAAACUUGAGAGGAUCUGCACAGAAGAAUGGGAGAAACUCCCCAACUACAGGUGUGACAAGCUGGUAGCGUCAUACCCAAGAAGACUCGAGACUGUAAUCGCUGCCAAAGGUGCUUCAACAAAGUACUGACUAAAGGGUCUAAUACUUGACAUAUCAGUUUUAUAUUUUAAAACCUGUUUUUGCUUUGUCUUCAUGGGGUAGAUUGAUGAGGGAAAAAAAUUAUUUACUCAAUUUUAGAAUAAGGAUGUAACUUAACAAAAGGUGGAAAGCGUCAUGGGGUCUGAAUACCAACCGAUGUCUGAUUCCUUCUAUGCCAAAUUCUGCAACCACUAGAUUGCACUGAUUGGUGUAAACCAGUUGAACAUGUAGUGUCACACCUCUGCCCUAUUGGAUCUAAAUGUAUUUUCUUGAUUUAGUCAUGUUUUCCCCCUGUCCAGGCAUUAUGUUCCAUCCUGAUCAUGUUUGUCAUUCAGUGGGUCUAUGCACGCCAAAGGCCAACCUUCGGCGUGGCUUAGCGUUUGGCCGUAGCAAGGAUUCUGGGUCGCCAGGCAAACAAUGCCCUGCUUACUUCCCUAUCUCAAGACUGUGACAGAGGCAUACUGCAGAUCACACAUGGGCACCGCUUGUACCACAGGUAUCAUGGGUAGUGAGAUGGUUUUCAUAUUUUACAGGUCACACAAAGAUCUCCUACUAUAUAUCAGAGGAGUCCAUUUUUAUUCUGGAGUGGCAAAGAGUGACACAUCUUAACUCAAGUUUAGUGUUGAAAUGUAUGGUUUAUAAUAUAUUAAAUAUAGUAAUAUAUUAAAUGACAGUAUGUUUUGUGAAUCUACCUACAGGAGCUGCAGCUGGUUUAAGCUUAUUCAGAUGGGUUUGGACCACCCUGAGUAGCUUGGGAAGGGGUGAGCUUCCUCAGGACCAGAUUUUCGUGACACUCUCUAUGUCAGGAGUCGGCAUGGAAACUAGGCAGCUGACGGGAAUAAACCUGGACUUUGGCUCUCGGGACCG